GUAACACAGGUGCUGCAUGGCUGUCGUCAGCUCGUGUCGUGAGAUGUUGGUUAAGUCCGCAACGAGCGCAACCCUUGUCAUUAGUUGCUACGAAAGGGCACUCUAAUGAGACUGCCGGUGACAAACCGGAGGAGGGUGGGGAUGACGUCAAGUCCUCAUGGCCCUUAUAGGUGGGGCUACACACGUCAUACAAUGGCUGGUACAAAGGGUUGCCAACCCGCGAGGGGGAGCCAAUCCCAUAAAGCCAGUCGUAGUCCGGAUCGCAGUCUGCAACUCGACUGCGUGAAGUCGGAAUCGCUAGUAAUCGUGGAUCAGCAUGUCACGGUGAAUACGUUCCCGGGUCUU
rnacentral:rRNA from 1 species